GGCAGUUUCUUAUCUAACCGGGGAGCUACUCAGCCCACUACCCAGCCGCACCUCCUUUUUUCCCUCUUGGGAGCAGUUGGGGAAUCGGAAUUUGAGCAGCGGCCAUCGGGUGCGCGUCCGGCGGCAAGAGGUGGCCGGGCUAAGUGACCAAGCAAGCGGCAGAUAGCGUCGUCGUCGACAGCCUCGUAGUCGGUCGUCCGAAGCGGCAGCAAUGGCGGCGUGGUGAUUGGCUUCAAGAAGACCGACUCCCAUCGGAGGAGAAGGAGACAAGCGGCUGUUGGAUUGCGGCAACUUGUGACUUCGGUGGGCUCAACCUUAGAUUCUGUGCGUACUGUCGCAUCCCCUUACAAGCCGAGACUGAAUUUUUUCUGCAUAGAUGUGGCGAUCUGGUCCGCUAGGUAAGAUAAGAUGUCAGGGAUAAAUCAAAAAGAACCUCCCCAGAUUAGACCUACGGCUGCCUCAAAUCCUGCUACUAUUCUUUAUGUGCCUUUGCAAAAACAGAGCUACUAAUCCUGUUGUGUGUGUCUACGAUUCAUUGAUUCUGUCAGGUUCAGCCCCAUUUUUUCUGUUCUGAACCCAAUCAAAUGUUCACUAUUAGACUAAGCAAUACAAGAUUCAGAUGAUAAACAUAUGCAUUAUUAGAUCUACGUAGGUUUCAUGUCAUCUCAGAGCAAUGUUGCCAUGGCGGCGUGGUGGUGGCGUCAGCUGCCUGGUCGGGCCGCGUGGCGGGUGGUGGCUGAGGGUGGCCUCGUGGUGGCUGAGGGUGGCCUCGGCAUCAGCAGAGUGGGUGGCGGCUGAGGGACGCAUCGUGGUGAGCAGCAGGCCCCCCUUAGCUGUGUCGUGGGUCGAUUCACGGCGAGCGGAGAACGUCGGUUGGCUUCGAUGUAAGACGGAGAUGAAUCAACAUGGCUCUCCUGCGUCAUCUUGAAUGAUUUGAAUGAAACAGGACCUUUACCUGAUUCUCUGGAGAAGUUUAGACCCAUGAAAAUCCAUAUCUAAAAAACUUGAUUUGAAGCUCCCCUUGUAUAUACUCUCCCUAAAACAAAUUGCACUUCUGUAUAUAGCUGAAUAUCUUUAUUCUUGUGUCUUGUCCAUGUAAUGUACUUGCUUAUGAAUGCUUCCUUCUAUUGGUGUCAUCUACCAGAUCAUAUCUGGAAUUGUUGUAAUGCAAGAAUUAUCCAUGUCACCUACGUGACAUUUUGUAAUUCACAUUUUUAUGUCCCAUUGUAUUACCAUA